CAGCCGCCGCGGUAAUACGAAGGGUGCAAGCGUUAAUCGGAAUUACUGGGCGUAAAGCGUGCGUAGGCGGUUUGUUAAGUCUGCUGUGAAAUCCCCGGGCUCAACCUGGGAAUGGCAGUGGAUACUGGCAAGCUAGAGUGUGUCAGAGGAUGGUGGAAUUCCCGGUGUAGCGGUGAAAUGCGUAGAUAUCGGAAGGAACACCUGUGGCGAAAGCGGCUCACUGGACCAUAACUGACGCUGAUGCACGAAAGCUAGGGGAGCAAACAGGAUUAGAUACCCCCGUAGUCCCUGUCUCUUAUAC
rnacentral:rRNA from 1 species